GACGAACGCUGACGGCGUGCUUAACACAUGCAAGUCUAACUGAACUUCCCUGCUUUUGUCGGGUGCUCGAGUGGCGAGCAGAUGAGUAACCCGUCAGUAACCUGCCCUUUACUUUGGGAUAUCUUCAUGCCACUGGUGCUAAUACCAGGUAGUCGCUCCUGCUUCAUGGUUGUGUUUGGAAAGUUACGGCGGUUGGGGCUGUACUCUCGGCUUAUCAGCUUGGUGGUGGGGUAGUGGGUUACCAAGGCUUUGACGGGUAGCCGGCCUGCGAGGGUGACAGGCCAAAUUGGGAAUGAGAUACGGCCCAGACUCCUACGGGAGGGAGGAGGGGGGAAUAUUGCAAAAAGGGAGGAAGACUGAUGCAGAAACACUGCGUGCGGGAUAACGGGCUUCGGGUAGUAAAAAGUGUUCGCAGGUGACGAGGAAAAAAUGACGGUAAUGGGUAAAGAAGCAACGGCUAACUACGUG
rnacentral:rRNA from 1 species